rnacentral:lncRNA from 1 species
UUGAAUGAAAAAUAUGCCAGUUGCUUAAGGAAGUUUUAAUUAAGUUGCUACCCAUACAAAUGUGUGAUUAAGUAUACUGAGUUUAAAUUGUUGCUAGGAAAGAUUGUUGUGGAGCAUGCCAAACGAAGUAUGUGACCGACAAAUAGGAAUAAUUAUAUACGCGUACGAAUCAAUAGUGAAGUAAUAUCCUACCAUUAUGAGGUGAGUAGGGGGUGUCAAUUUUAAAAAUUCCGUAUAUAUAUACAUGUACGUAUAUUUUACGUGAAGUGCAAAAUUUAUGGAAAGCAUGCGUUGAUAGAAUUUUAAGGAAUUGUGGGUGUAAGUUAU